UACGUAGGGGGCGAGCGUUGUCCGGAUUUAUUGGGCGUAAAGAGCGUGUAGGCGGCCAGGUAGGUCUGCUGUGAAAACUCGAGGCUCAACCUCGAGACGUCGGCGGAAACCAUCUGGCUAGAGUCCGGAAGAGGAGAGUGGAAUUCCUGGUGUAGCGGUGAAAUGCGCAGAUAUCAGGAAGAACACCCGUGGCGAAGGCGGCUCUCUGGGACGGUACUGACGCUGAGACGGCGAAAGCGUGGGGAGCGAACAGG
rnacentral:rRNA from 1 species